rnacentral:lncRNA from 12 species
AGGGGGUUUCCAAGAUCCAUCCCUACUGCCUGGUCUGAAAUGAUGAACUGAACUGCAGACAAAGGAUUGGAUUUAGUGUGAUUCAGUCUGGGUGUUGAGGGAGAUUUAGAGUCACCUGGAGAAGUUUGGAAUUGUUCUGUCCCACACCUUAAACCAGAAGCUCUUCCAAAGGCAGCAGUGUCAAGCUCACUCUUGUGACAAAUAUUGGAAGGCAGCUGGAUGUCACUGGGGAGCAAGGGAGGUUCUCAGCAUGGGGAGGAGAGGCUGAAAAGCAGAAGGGCUGAGGAGAGGAUGCCUGGAAAGACAAGGACAGGGCAAUCCUGCGGCUCCUGGCUCACACACGCUCCCAGGUAAGCAAUUCCAUUACCUGGGGCCUCUCUGCCAGCCCAGCUGGCCUUGUCUUCACUUGGGCAACUUUUCUGUCUGCAGCUCCUCCACCUUCCCCUCACCUGUUUGUGCUUCCUGGCUCUGCCUUUCCCCCAGAUUCUCCCAAUUAGUGGUCAAACAACAGCAAUC